rnacentral:telomerase_RNA from 1 species
UCAACGCACGUCGCCUCCCCCACAGUCCUCCGAUUCUCGUUUUCCGAAAGGAAUGUCUGCAAGGGCCUCUCUGCUGGGCUGGAUCACCACAAUACGUCGCAUCUCGUACCUGUAUCAGGAAUCUCGAUGAUUGCCGCGGAAUGGAUUAUUGUGUCACGGUUGUCAGCAACUGACAAGCCAGUCCCCAGCGAGGGUACGGGUCUCGGAACUUAACCCUAAGUAAUCGGUCGGUGUUUUGCGCUCACCAUGUUCGUCUAGGCCGCCCUAUAAAUCCAUAGUGUUUUUCCUACGACGUCCACGCCGCUGAAAAGUGGAUGGGCCGAGCAGGGCAUCGGGGAUGGAAAGGUGGCGACGGCUGGUUCAGAUGUCCUUUCUUGGACAGGUGAGAGUUGAUUCCCAUGAGUCACAAAUGGUAAGAACCUCUGGUCUGAGGUCGCUCGUCAGGUCUCGACUACUGGACUUCGAACUCUGGUCCCUUUGGAUUGUUCUGGCGGUAUUUCGGAAGGUUUCCUUCAUGGUUGCGGACGACAAACGCAGCUCUCCUUGUUUCGCUUGUUGACAUGCUUCGGCUGCCAUCUCCUUUUGUGCAGCAGGGUAGAGCGCAACAUGGGUUACGUACAGUCGGUUUCCAAACAUUUCCCAUUCGCAUGGGCACGCCUCAGAUUUGCCUUGCCGGAAUUCCUUGGUGCUAGAUACGGGGGAACAAGGAUCUGAAGGCUUCAAACAGAAAUGCCAUGGAACCGAUCUUCAUCGCCCUGUUGUUACGCCCUCUGUACCCUGACUCACAAAAGUCAUUUGCCUUGAGCUGCGGGUUUCUCCAACCUUCGAAUCCCGACCACCAGGAUCACAUCACGGCAACAGCUACAGAUGUGUCAUGCAUUGCAUGAGGUCCGACCAGGCGCAUUAACCUGAGCUCAUGGGUUUCGUCCCAGGAGUUGUCAGGGCACCAGACACUUUGCUCCUCGCCACUCGGCGUCGGGCAUUUUCCCUCUCAGCUACCAGAAAUGGCUUGCAUGAGAGAUGACAGUGCAGUUUUUGAGGAUGUAUUUUGUCUGCGCGCGAUUUGCCCUCCUUCGCUGCUCUUCGUAGCUCGGUGGAGAGGAAUCAAAAACUAGUCCUUGUUGGCAGUGCGAUCACACGGAAAGAGGCUCUUCUUGACGCGACUGGCGGUCCUCGACACAGCAUCGUGCGGCGAUUUCAACGUUGCUAUGUUCAUGACGACAGGGCAUCUUUGGGCACGUUUGAGAUGCGGACUUUGGGCGAGUUGCGGGCGUGAUGUCCCAUGGGACUUAAUGAUCAUGUUCAUGGAGCGCUGUUCGCCGACUGUAGUGCGUCUGAUGAGGCUGUUUGUUCUAGUUCGCGGCAGAAUCGGGACCCAUCUCGAGUUGGAGUCAAAGUUUUGUACUUGUCUGGUUCUGCUUGUGGCUCUUGCGGCACUUCUCAUCAAGACAACUUCAGGAAGGUGUCGCGCUCUUAGAUCAGGUCUCUUUUAGGAAAGGGACCGGGCUCGUGAAGAGCAGUCCUGACCGCUCUCUCUCCAGAAAUGGCGAGAGAGCGGCCCCUUUUUUUCAAGG